UCCUCAGGUAGAGGGUGUGCUCAAGCA
rnacentral:piRNA from 1 species